GGGGAUGAUCGGUUUCGACGGCGAAUGUGCGCCGAAGGGAAGCGGGUCGAGGAUGCAGAGUCAUCUCGUUAACGACUCUCUGCGAAACAAUAGGUGCCAACAAGAACAAGAGCACCGAUUUCGCCCUCGCCGCCUGAGCGAGCUUGCGAAAUCCGUCAACCCGGGGGUGCUUUCCCUCCGGGACCUGGCGUCGUUUUGAAAGCCACUGCUGAGCGCGUAUGCAGCGGGCGCGCUCGGGACUCCUACGCUGCUAAGUCCGUCAGCAACUCGUCUGCGUGAGUGCUGGGGCCGAAAACAACGUCUAGCAGACUGCACCCGGAGAAGACUUGGGCAAACAUCGUCGGACGCGAGUUCAAUUCUCGCCAUCUCCACCG
rnacentral:tmRNA from 1 species